rnacentral:rRNA from 1 species
AGUGAACGCUGGCGGUAGGCCUAACACAUGCAAGUCGAACGGCAGCACAGUAAGAGCUUGCUCUUACGGGUGGCGAGUGGCGGACGGGUGAGGAAUACAUCGGAAUCUACUUUUUCGUGGGGGAUAACGUAGGGAAACUUACGCUAAUACCGCAUACGACCUACGGGUGAAAGCAGGGGAUCUUCGGACCUUGCGCGAUUGAAUGAGCCGAUGUCGGAUUAGCUAGUUGGCGGGGUAAAGGCCCACCAAGGCGACGAUCCGUAGCUGGUCUGAGAGGAUGAUCAGCCACCCUGGAACUGAGACACGGUCCAGACUCCUACGGGAGGCAGCAGUGGGGAAUAUUGGACAAUGGGCGCAAGCCUGAUCCAGCCAUACCGCGUGGGUGAAGAAGGCCUUCGGGUUGUAAAGCCCUUUUGUUGGGAAAGAAAAGCAGCAGGUUAAGACCCCGCUGUUCUGACGGUACCCAAAGAAUAAGCACCGGCUAACUUCGU